CGUCCGCCGCCGGUUACCCGGCAGGCAAGAUGACAUUAACACUCAGUUUUACUAUAUGACUUCUAAAACUACUAGUUUAUUAUAUUAGUGAAUGUUUCAUGUCAAUUGUUGUUUAGUGUUAUCGAUUAGACUUAGGUAGACGGUUGUUUAUAGGUAAAUCUAGCAGCCAUCCAACAUGCCGGACUGGUUGUGGCUCCUGGCGGCGGCCGUGUUUGGAGCCGUGGCGGCGCUGACCAUCCCCCUGGUGUUCCUGGUGCACUACAUGCGGCCCUUCGAGAAGAAGAAGCAGCCCGACCACCAGUACAGCUUGCCUGUCACGAUACCUCCUGAAAUCCUCACAGAACUGAGUCGAGGCGCAGGCAGCACCCCGGAAGGCGCUCUGAACGCGAUGCUGCAGUUCAUCUUCCAGCAAAGCACCGCCGACACCCGCUGGCUGCGACGCCGCAUGGCCACGGAACUAGCAGAGCUGCUCGCCAAGACAUCCUCUGGGAAGAUCUUCGAGUCCUUGACUCUCCGUUCCCUAGAAGUGGGCUCAGAGUUUCCGAGCAUCAAUAACUUGCGUCUUCUUAGCGGCGAGUUGGAAGACGACGGAGCAAGACUGCGGUCCUUAGACUUGAAGUUCGACUUGGCGUACGACGGCAACUUCAGAAUCGAUGUUGACGCUGUUAUGCUGCUAGGAAAGAUUGCUAACAUAUCUAUUACUGUGGAAAGCCUAAGCGGUAAUGUACGAGUAAUGUUCCGUCGUACACCUUACAUGCAUUGGGCGAUCGCGUUCGAGGCACCGCCGAAGCUGGAGCUCCGGGUACGAGGCCGCUUCCAAGGCAGACAGCUCAAGCCUAGAUUGGCUUCGUUGGUCGCCGCGCACAUACGCAGAGCCGUCGCACAAAGACAUACGCUUCCAAAUUACAAAAUACGAUACAAACCGUUCUUCCCAAAGUCAGAGCCGGGUAGCGCAGAAGGCGAGGAGGGCCCGACCCCGCACGGCAAGCUGACCGUGCGGCUGGUGGAGGUGACCCGACUGCAAUGGGCAGGCACCAGCGCCACUGUGCGCGCGGCGCUGGCUGUGGACUCGCACGGCUGGGUAUCUCUCCGCCGAGGCGUGCUAGUCCUAGACAUAGUGUUGCCAGCAGUGAGCGGGCCGCUGGGCCUCGUGUGUUGCCAGGGUGUGGGCGUGGUUCUGGUAGAUACUGUGGUGCCGAUGUCACCGGCCUACCGCGCUGACUUGCGCAGAGAUGACGUCGUGCUCGCCAUAGAUAAUAAACCUGUCAAUAAUGUUGCUCAGGUAGGCAAACUUCUUCGCUGCGUAGAGCGGCGCGCAGUGACAGUGCGCGUACGUCGCGGAGGCAAUACGAGCACGGCUCGACGGGAAGAAUUGACGGAGCCCAAGCGCAUGCGCGCCAACUUUUCCUUCCGACGUGUGUCGGAAGUUAUGGAGGGUGUAAGAAUGCAAGGAAUGCGGUCUGCCGUUUCUAAAACUAGUUUACAGGAUGCAGAAGGCUCCCCAGCAAAAUCCCCAGAACCAAAAGAGAUUGAGGAACCGAAACAGAAAGCCGAGCCCGUUCGACAGUUGUCGAAGAGUUCCGAAGCGCCAGGAAACUUCGGUCUUCGCAAGCGGCGAUGUUCCGUCGAGAACAAAUCUUCCGACAGUUCUGCCGGAAGCACGCCCCCUGCCUCUGGAGCAAGCACCCCUCUCAGACAAGCCAAUGCUACCAACAAAACCGUCAAACAUCCAGACAUACCUAUCAUAAGAACAGAUUCCUCAGAAUGCAGAGUGUCAGAAAAAGUCGAUACAGGCCCCGAAGAAGAAGAACAAUUAUUUGAAACAGGAGGCCCAAGACAAACAGAACACGUAGAAAUAUGCCAAAUGUUUUGGACUAAAAACGUGCAAAUAAAACCCAUAAUACCUUUCGACGAAGAAACAGAAUUCAAAUUGAAUGAGAAUCAUAAAUAUUUGAAUUUAAACGUGUGGGCCACGGUGCCGGGGGAGAAAGAGGAAGUUUUGUUAGGAUAUUUGAAUAUACCGCUCGCGGCGUUGCUGAGUGAAUGUCAGGACUCUACGGUCCCACAUCAUAUGAAGAGAUACCAGUUUCUACCACCUGAUGUUGAUAUUAAGUUUAGCAAAACCCACAAGCUAGCGUCACACGCGGGGUUUGAACCUUGCCUCUGCUUCGGCGACGCGCUAGUAUGGUGGGAAUGGGAGGGAGCCGGCAACGCUAGGAGUAUACCGCGAGCGCCUUCCAAGGACAGGGACACCCCUCCGCGGCCUAAACCUAUCAGAGCGGCCCAUGACUUUGUGCGCACACACUUCCAUAGGUCGACGCAAUGCGAUUUUUGUAAUAAGAAGAUUUGGCUGAAAGAUGCAAUGCAGUGCCGCAGCUGCGGAUUGUGCUGUCAUAAGAAAUGCGUCACCAAAUGCCAGGAGUCUUCGCCGUGCGUGUCCAAACAGGACCGAGAUUCAUCAGCAGGCAGCGGAAUGCAGCCACCAGAGCUGAUCAUGACCGAGGCAGACUCCAUCGCCGACCCUGACUCCGACGAGGAGGCCUCAGAGAGGAAGGACUCUCUUGACGUGCACGAAGAAGGCGGGGGCACUAUGAGUGCCCUGGUGGCCGGGCUCCGCCGCGCGGGGUCCGCGCACUCGCUGACGGCUCCGAAGACAUGUGCCUCUUCGCGAUCCCUCCCGCCCUCUCCGAGUCACACCCCCAGAUAUUAGACGACACGCAGCGGUUGCACCUAGUUCUAACCGUGACCGGCAUCAGGGUGAAGCAGGAAGCAGUCGCUGGAGCAAGGGAACCCGUUCGCGGGCUGCGGCGCCACGUGGCUGCAGCGUGG
rnacentral:misc_RNA from 1 species